GACGAACGCUGGCGGCGUGCUUAACACAUGCAAGUGGAGCGACGAACUGGGCUUCGGCCCAGGGCAGAGCCGCGAACGGGUGAGUAACACGUGGGUAACCCACCCCGAUGACCGGGACAACCCGAGGAAACUCGGGCUAAUACCGGAUGAGCUCGCACCCCACAAGGGGUUCGAGGAAAGAUAGCUUCGGCCUUCGCAUCGGGACGGGCCCGCGGCCCAUUAGCUUGUUGGUGGGGUAACGGCCCACCAAGGCCGCGAUGGGUAGCUGGUCUGAGAG
rnacentral:rRNA from 1 species